UACGAAGGGGGCUAGCGUUGCUCGGAUUGACUGGGCGUAAGGCGGCGUAGCGGAUAGUACAGUCAGGCGUGAAAUUCCUGGGCUCAACCUGGGGGCUGCGUUUGAUACGUAUUGUCUGGAGUUCGGAAGAGGGUCGUGGAAUUCCCAGUGUAGAGGUGAAAUUCGUAGAUAUUGGGAAGAACACCGGUGGCGAAGGCGGCGACCUGGUCCGAUACUGACGCUGAGGCGCGAAAGCGUGGGGAGCAAACAGG
rnacentral:rRNA from 1 species